rnacentral:rRNA from 1 species
GAUGAACGCUGGCGGCGUGCUUAACACAUGCAAGUCGAGCGAACGGACGAGAAGCUUGCUUCUCUGAUGUUAGCGGCGGACGGGUGAGUAACACGUGGAUAACCUACCUAUAAGUCUGGGAUAACCUCGGGAAACCGGAGCUAAUACCGGAUGAUAUUCUGAACCGCAUGGUGCAAAAGUGAAAGACGGUCGUGCUGUCACUUAUAGAUGGAUCCGCGCUGCAUUAGCUAGUUGGUAAGGUAACGGCUUACCAAGGCAACGAUGCAUAGCCGACCUGAGAGGGUGAUCGCCCACCCUGGAGCUGAGACACGGUCCAGGCUCCUACGGGAGGCAGCAGUCGGGAAUCUGACGCAAUGGGCGAAAGCCUGACGGAGCAACGCCGCGUGAGUGAUGAAAGUCUUCGGAUCGUAAAGCUCUGUCAUUGGGGGAGAACCUCUGUGUACGUAGAUGUACAGAUCUUGACGGUACCUGAUCAAAAAGCCCCGGCUAACUACGUG